rnacentral:rRNA from 1 species
AUUGAACGCUGGCGGCAUGCCUUACACAUGCAAGUCGAACGGUAACAGGUCUUCGGAUGCUGACGAGUGGCGAACGGGUGAGUAAUGCAUCGGAACGUGCCCAGUCGUGGGGGAUAACUACGCGAAAGCGUAGCUAAUACCGCAUACGAUCUAUGGAUGAAAGCGGGGGAUCGCAAGACCUCGCGCGAUUGGAGCGGCCGAUGGCAGAUUAGGUAGUUGGUGGGGUAAAGGCUCACCAAGCCGACGAUCUGUAGCUGGUCUGAGAGGACGACCGACCACACUGGGACUGAGACACGGCCCAGACUCCUACGGGAGGCAGCAGUGGGGAAUUUUGGACAAUGGGCGCAAGCCUGAUCCAGCCAUGCCGCGUGCAGGAUGAAGGCCUUCGGGUUGUAAACUGCUUUUGUACGGAACGAAAAGUCUCUUUCUAAUAAGGAGGGAUCAUGACGGUACCGUAAGAAUAAGCACCGGCUAUCUACGUGCCAGCCGCCGCAGUAAGAC